UUCUUCUGAGACUUAGACUCAGCGUCGUUGCCUUGAUACCCCCAGAGAAAGAUGCCGGGCAUCGACUCAAACUUCGACUCGAAAUCCUUCAAUAUGUUACCAUUACUUGUCUUCUUCUGAUUGGAAAGGGACGACUCUGCAUGGUGAUUGUCGUUGCCUUGAUA